UACGUAGGGGGCAAGCGUUGUCCGGAAUCAUUGGGCGUAAAGCGCGUGUAGGCGGCUCGGUAAGUCCGCUCUGAAAGCCCGGGGCUCAACCCCGGGAGGCGGGUGGAUACUGCUGAGCUCGAGUCCGGAAGAGGAGUGUGGAAUUCCUGGUGUAGCGGUGAAAUGCGCAGAUAUCAGGAGGAACACCAAUGGCGAAGGCAGCACUCUGGGACGGUACUGACGCUGAGACGUGAAAGCGUGGGGAGCAAACAGG
rnacentral:rRNA from 1 species